CUUGUUCAUUGUUGUAACCAGGGAGCGGUUCCACAAAUUCUAGCGAAAACCAGCGACGAAUUUGUUUCAGGUCUUCUUGAUUCACUGAAAACAAAUGCAGAUAUUUUAUAUGAAAAGAUCAACAAGAUCCCUUGUUUCACUUGCCCAAACAAACCAGAAGGAUCAAUGCUUGCAAUGGUGAAGCUGAAUCUAGAACAACUUGAAGGGAUCCGCGACGACGUAGAGUUCUGCAGCAAGGUGGCGAGGGAAGAAUCUGUGGUGAUUCUCCCAGGUGUUGCCGUUGGGUUGAAGAAUUGGCUGCGCUUCAGCUUUGGGAUGGAGCGUUGCGCCAUUGAAGAUGGCGUGGCAAGGUUGGAAAGCUUCUACCAAAGGCAUAAGCUCCAUUAGACACAGAAUGGCGUGACGUACCUAUGUCGAAAGUUUCAAGAUAAAAAUCUCAUGCUCUCUCAAUCGUUACUGAAAAUCUCUUGUUUUCAAGCUCAGACAUGUUAAAUGGUGAAUGUUUUUUUUUUUGGUGUUGUUUUAGUUUUCAACUAAUUUGUUCAUAGAAA